rnacentral:misc_RNA from 1 species
AAGUCGUAACAAGGUUUCCGUAGGUGAACCUGCGGAAGGAUCAUUAAAUUGAAACAAACCAAAAAACACCACGUGGGCUUGCCCAUGUGCUGCAAGUUGUAAGUCUGCAUAGUUUUGAAAAAAACUGAUGAGCAGCGGCUUGCGUGUUUUGUUUUAACCCUUGUUUUUUGCGUACCUAUUGUUUCCUCGGCGAGUUCGCUCGCCGGCUGGACAAAACUUAUAACCUUUUUUUAAUCUUCAAUCAGCGUCUGAAUUAUACAUAAUAAUUACAACUUUCAACAACGGAUCUCUUGGUUCUG